ACUGUAACAAAUUUUAUCAAUUAAUUAGUAAAUCAAACAACUAUAAGACUUAAAAAUUGGAAAACCUAUUUUAGAGCUUGUAGAAGAAACGAUACCUCAAUCAAUUUUGUUUCCCAAAUGUAUUAAAUAAUACACAGGCUAAUAAAUUGCACAGUAAGCUAUUUAAACCUGCUCAAAAUUCCAUUCAAUGUAUUUAACAUAGUGCUUCUUAGCUUUGAUAUAAUUUUUUUUGUUCUCUUAGGGCAAGAAGCUGAAAAAUUACACUAAAAGGAUCUUUGCGCUGCUUCCAGAAUAUCAGAAUAUAGCCAGAAGCGAACCCGCCUAAGAAUUAUAUUAAUUAAACAGGUUGGUCAGGGUAUGUAUUCGUUCCAUCUGUGUGCUGAAUGGUACCAGCAGUUCAAACAGGAUCACUCCCAAAGAGUAGAUGUCCACCUUGUAGCUGUACGGCUUGCCGGACACCUGGACACAUCAGUUAAUGGUUGGUACACAUGAAUCAUUGUGUUAAAUCAUGCCUUUUGUAACCAAUAUUUUUGUGUACAAUCAUGGUUCACUAUACAUAUGCAUUACACAAACAUUGCAUCCCAUACACAAGACCACACUCUAUUAAAUACAUACAUAAUAAUCUUAUUCUAAUAUCUUUUUUAAUCUUUUCGUAAAUCAUUAUGAAAUAGGACUUUCUAAGUAUCAUUGAUUGUUAACUUGUUUUUAUUUAUUUAAUAAAAAAUUAAUAUGUUUUUAUAAAUUUGCACACUGUACUUAUUUAACUUCUACAUUACACUGUAUUAGCUUGGUAUCUUUGACGACUACUAAUAACUGAGCUUGGCCCGACACAAAAAUUAUCUAGUCUCUGAGAGAACAAAUUCACAUAGUAUAACAGUGUUUUCUUGUAUUGAGUGUUGUUUAAAUGAAUAAAUUUGUUUAAUUUCAUCCAA